rnacentral:rRNA from 1 species
AUUGAACGCUGGCGGCAGGCCUAACCCAUGCAAGUCGCGCGAGCGGCGGACGGGUGAGUAAUGUCUGGGAAACUGCCUGAUGGAGGGGGAUAACUAAUGGAAACGGUAGCUAAUACCGCAUACCAUCAGAUGUUCCCAGAUGGGAUUAGCUAGUAGGUUGGGUAACGGCUCACAUAGGCGACGAUCCCUAGCUGGUCUGCGCGGAUGACCAGCCACACUGGAACUGAGACACGGUCCAGACUCCUACGGGAGGCAGCAGUGGGGAAUAUUGCACAAUGGGCGAAAGCCUGAUGCAGCCAUGCCGCGUGUGUGAAGAAGGCCUUCGGGUUGUAAAGCACUUUCAGCGGGGAGGCGUUACCCGCAGAAGAAGCACCGGCUAACUCCGUGCCAGCCGCCGCGGUAAUUC